GAUGAACGCUGGCGGCGUGCCUAAUACAUGCCAGUCGAGCGAACAGACGAGGAGCUUGCUCCUCUGACGUUAGCGGCGGACGGGUGAGUAACACGUGGAUAACCUACCUAUAAGACUGGGAUAACUUCGGGAAACCGGAGCUAAUACCGGAUAAUAUAUUGAACCGCAUGGUUCAAUAGUGAAAGACGGUUUUGCUGUCACUUAUAGAUGGAUCCGCGCCGCAUUAGCUAGUUGGUAAGGUAACGGCUUACCAAGGCAACGAUGCGUAGCCGACCUGAGGGGGUGAUCGGCCACACUGGAACUGAGACACGGUCCAGACUCCUACGGGAGGCAGCAGUAGGGAAUCUUCCGCAAUGGGCGAAAGCCUGACGGAGCAACGCCGCGUGAGUGAUGAAGGUCUUCGGAUCGUAAAACUCUGUUAUUAGGGAAGAUCAAAUGUGUAAGUAACUAUGCACGUCUUGACGGUACCUAAUCAGAAAGCCACGGCUAACUACGUG
rnacentral:rRNA from 1 species